UCGAGCCAUGCUAAUUUGAAAUCGCGAGUACCUAUUUCGUAUAAUCGUAAGUAUUUUCUCCCAUCUUCGAAUAAAAUUUGUUGUAAUACGUUCAGUGCUAAUUCUUGUGUCCAUUAUUUUCAGACAUUAUUUUCAUAAAAUGACUUGAGGACCCCUUCCAUUGACAUGAAUGCACGGAACUACAAGCCGGCUUCUUUUCUGCGUUGGGUAUGUUUCACAUUUGUACGCCCAUGAUUUUAACCCUCGCCAAGGGUUGGUAAAAGCCUCAGGGUCAUUGUUUCUUUUAAAACCUAUUUCAGGGUUCUUCGAUUUGGAGGUUACGUUCAAAGGUAGCGCGGAGCUGAUGCUUCCCGAGCCUGAACCGGUGGACAGGAGGCUGUGGCGACUGGGAUGGAAGAGCUUCCAUUCCUGUAGCUGCAGCUUCCACCUCCCCUAAAUUCUGUUACAUGUCACCAAGGUCAAGAUGACCUAGAGAAAGCAAAAAAAAUACUGAAACUGGUUGAGGAUACAUCAGACUUACAGACUGAAGCCGAAACAGAACCAAGUCUUAAACGUAAAAUGCAAAAAAGAUAUGUUUCUAGCAGCAGUGACGAAGAUGAACAGUGAAAAAGAAAUAAACAACCACUUCAAGCUGCUGACAAUGAAGGAGAUUAUGGAGAUAGUCGUCAAGCUCAGCCAAACAUUGCCCAAGAAACCGCUUCAAUAGCAGAAAGAACCCUCUCAUUACUGACUGUAGCAGAUGAGCUUCCCAUCUUGACAAACAGUGACAACAGACUGCAAG